rnacentral:rRNA from 1 species
GCUAGGACGAACGCUGGCGGCGUGCCUAACACAUGCAAGUCGAACGGAGCUAUUGAGCUUGCUCUUUAGCUUAGUGGCGGACGGGUGAGUAACGCGUGAGCAACCUGGCCUGUUAUGGGGGGAUAACUUCCGGAAACGGACGCCUAAUACCGCAUAUUGUACAUAGCUCGCAUGAGCAAGUGUAUGAAAGGAGCAAUCCGCUGGACAGAUGGGCUCACGUCCGAUUAGUUUGUUGGUGGGGUAAUGGCCUACCAAGACUUCGAUCGGUAGCCGGGCUGAGAGGCUGAUCGGCCACAUUGGGACUGAGACACGGCCCAGACUCCUACGGGAGGCAGCAGUGGGGGAUAUUGCACAAUGGAGGAAACUCUGAAUGCAGCAACGCCGCGUGAGGGAUGAAGGUUCUCGGAUUGUAAACCUCUGUCCUUAGUGAAGAAUUUUUUGACGGUAACUAAGGAGGAAGCUCCGGCUAACUACGUGCCAGCCGCCGC